rnacentral:rRNA from 1 species
UACAGGGGGUGCAAACGUUGCUCGGAAUUAUUGGGCGUAAAGCGCGCGUAGGCGGUCUCUUAAGUCGGAUGUGAAAGCCCUUGGCUCAACCGAGGAAGUGCACCCGAAACUGAGAGGCUUGAGUACGAAAGAGGGUCGCGGAAUUCCCGGUGUAGAGGUGAAAUUCGUAGAUAUCGGGAGGAACACCGGUGGCGAAGGCGGCUCUCUGGGCCUUACCUGACGCUGAGGAGCGAAAGCGUGGGUAGCGAACAGG